ACCUAAGGAGCUCAGUUGGUAGAGCAUGAGACUCUUACCCAUGAGACCCAUGGAUCUCAGGGUCAUGGGUUUGAGCCCCAAGUUGGGCA